rnacentral:pre_miRNA from 14 species
UUCUUAGCUCCUGCUGAAAGACCCCCAGAGCGGGGAGACCCUCACUCAAGUCUCAGGAUGACGCAACCCCCCAAGAACUCACACAAGACU